AUACUUGUACUGCACCUGCGCGAAGACGUAUGUACGAAGGCGGGUUCAACAGUGUCCGAUUGAUGAGCGGAUUGGAUUGCGGAGCGCCUGCUGUGGAUAAAGUAUCAAAUAGAUUGCCAGCUUAUUUUUCUUGGGAACAGAUGUUCGCAUAUCUGGGUACUCCUAGCCUCAGAUGUAUCAGGUGUUAGCGUAUUUGUUUUUUUGUACACCCAUCAAAAAUAAGGGACAUUAUGGCUGCUGACAUGCUACCACAAUUUGUGAAGUGUUCAAAUUUUAAUGCCACCGGGUAUUUUUGUUGCUACCUGCAUAUUUUAUGUGUACAGAUUUGAUCAUCAGAUUGUUAGAAAUGGAUCUGAUUUACAAAAAAAAAACAGAUGAGUGAAACUGGUCCUGUGUUUCUCAUCAGUUCAAUAUCAAUGUAUCACCUAUAGACUUAGUUCCAGAAAGAUCAAACUAUUGUGCUUUUUUUGUAGAACCGUACCAAAAUAUCGAGGCUUUCUCUUCACAAGAUAAGGCUGGCUCCAGGACAAUUUAAUUGUCAUUAAUGAGGGGCUACUUUGGCGUCCAUAUACAUUGCCUGAAAUGAUGUAUUUUUAUUUUAAAGUCACUACUGAUAAACUGAUAUACUGAUAUAAUUAAACAUAUUUUAAACAACUGGAAAAUGUCACUAUAUAUCCCCUUGUAGUUAGGAAAAUACAGAAAGUAAAGUACCACGUAUAGAGCCAGCAAUUACACAUUUUGGGAAGGCGAGUUCAAGCACUAUAUAAUCCGUGAGAGGGCCUUCUCUCGGAUGCAGUGAGUGAUCAAAAUCGCUGCUGUGUGACUGGCAAAGAGAGGAAACAGAAUAGGAAAGUAUCCUAAGGUAGCGUUUAUUGUAGUCUUGUUGGGACAGUCAACAUUUCUUGCGAGCCAAGUACGUUUUUCUCCGUCGGUGAACAAAUGCAUAGUGUUACUUCCUUUUUGUUUAUUUUUCGGUAAGUGUACAACGUAACUAAAGAGGCGAUUGUUAGUCAGCUAGCUAGCUAGCUUGCAGCCAUAGUGGUCUGUGGGUGCUAGCUAGCUAGCUAGAUUUUCAAGACCGCUAGCUAGCAAGCUAACGUUAACCAGUUACGAGUUUGCUUUGUCGCGACCAUCCUCCUCAGUACGGUUUGCGGUUAGUAAUAACGCGAGCUGAUUUACCUCUGUUCUUUAAAGGCCGGAGUGGGUUUUGGGAAACGUUUCGAGCCGUCUAGCCAAGUUGAAUUUCCCAGUGGCUAAUAAUAUCGAGUUGUAUGCUUACUUUAGCGAGCUAACUUAGCUGUCGCUAGCUACCUAGCUAGUGACGCUGUCGGCGUUUGCUUUGUAGAAAGUUGUUUGGUUCAUUUGUGAGGUAAAGGAGAUAUCGUUCCGAACAGUUGUAUAGGUCACCGCAUAUUUGAAGCGCAGUUACAGAGUUUUUGCUAUUAAACAGCAGUUUGAACAAACGCAGGGAGAAGGCGCAUAACAAAACUUCAGGUAAGUUUGAUUGCUAGUUAGCUAACGUUACCUUACGCUAGGUUCCCUUUGCCAUUAACGUUAACUAUCUACUAACGAAAACUACUAACGUUAACGUUAUGUUGAAGGGUCUCUUAGGACCGCACACACCAAUAUAAGUCUUCCCCCUUCUCUUUUCUGGCUUUUGCUAAUUUGCUUUGUGGAGAUUAUCUGAUUUGGUUACGUUAUUUGCUAAACUGUGUCGUUUGUUUUGGUACAUUUGCUAUGAUAACCGGUGUUACUGUUGGAUUCCAUUUCUGUGCUAGCUGCUUAGUUAGCCAACUUGCUAGCGACCAAGUCAACGAAAAAUUAACGUUAUCCGUUAGCCAGUUGUAUUAAUUGAUACAAGCUUAUUGGCGCUUGUUAAUGGCCACUGUUUCGUAAGGUAAAUAACCAACAUGGCCUAUUUAGCACAUUCACUUGAACGAGUUGGAAUGUCUGGCGUUAAGCUGUCAACCAAAUUGAUUAUUUCGUAGGUCUAACGUUAGUCACUAGCUAAUUUAAAUAACCGUUAGCUGGCUAACAAACGUUUAUGUGUUAAGUUGUCUGAGCGAUGACAUGGCAAGCUAGUUAACGAGCGUUCAUUUCAGAGUUCGUCUUACCAUUGGGCCUGCGAUAACUUGAUGACACUACAAAUGAAUAUGAUGUAUGUGUCUGUUGCGUAUAACCUAGAAGUAAUAGUUUUUGUUCAAUUAACCAACACGGCGGUAGGUCAUGGUGGGCAUAAUGACGCCUGUGUGGGAUUUUAAGUGGAUUUAACACCGUGCACUUUCCCGAGCGCAUCCCCAGUUCUUCAGCUGUUGAGAUAAUCUGAGUCAGAGCCCAACCUUGACCUCCAACAGCAGUCAUGGAAAAGGAUGUCUGCAUGGAGGAAAAGGAGAAUGUUGAUGGUCCACCGGAUUUGGUCAAGGAGUCCGAUACUGGGCCAUCCCCUUACAGAUACACCAAGGUAUGUACCUUCAGACUGACAACCGUUGCAGGUGCUGAUUUGUUUCCACCAAGUCAUAAAAUCAGUGGACCUUUGCUAUCUUUUUGGUUACAGAGAAUAAGGCCCUCUUUUGCUUAAUGAUUUUGUCCAGUUUGUUGAACCAGAUUUCUGAGUUGAAAUGUGUUGCACUACUGCUGCGUCGCGGUUGCAUGUGUUUAUUCACACUGCUGACGUUUCUCAUGUGGUGCUGCUACUGCCAGUCCCAUCUCUCUGCAUUCAGUUUGCCUUUGAUAAUGGCCUUCAAUACGCAAUCAGUUUGGCAUCAUCCAUUGUUGAUGAGUGGUUCAAAAAGUUGCCCUACUUCAGAGCCAGGGUGAGCGAGAGCACAAGGGGAAACGAAUAAUAACUUUAUCGAUAUAAUGUUGUUAUAGCCUACAUUGGGUUUCUAUAUAGUACACAUGC
ensembl:lncRNA